AAAUCAAUAUGUCAAUAUGGCUACUGGCGUGGCUACUGGCUGUAAAAGAUAAAUCUUAUUCUAUCUGUUCUUAAUGAGUUUUAGAUAAUUUUAGUUGUAUUUCUUUGUAAUUUUGUGUUGUACAAAGAUUAAUUUAACAUUUUCUCUGGAAGUAUUAAUUUAGAAAGAUAAUAUGCUUCAUUGGUGUUGUGUUUUGAAGUGUGAAAUGCAAAGUAAUUGUGAUAAAGUCAAGAUAAAGUUCACUUUUAAACUGAACUAAAUAAGGUAUCUGAGAGACAACAAUGGUUAAAUGCAAUACAAUGUACAGGUUUUACUAGCGAAAUGAAAAUUUUCCUGUCCUGUCUGCUGUAAUCAUUUUAUAUCUGGAAAACCAGCCGACUUAAUCGAUAAUAACAAUCUCCAGAUUGGGUUCCUUCAAUAAAUAUGGGCUAUAAACACAAUGAAAUAAGUUCCCCAAAAUCUAAAAUGGAGUGAUAUCAAAGGAGAAUUAAAGGAAAAAAUAUUCAUAUUGAAAUUAUUUAUAAGGCACUGGACUGUCUUAAAUUCUACAAUAAUACUAGAAUCAGCUGAGAGAAGUGGUCUACAAAAAACCAGGAAGGAAACGGAAUAUGUGGCUACGAAAGGCAAAAGAAAGGUUUACAAAGCAAAUGUGACACAUUUUUGUGAAAUAUUUAGGAAUAUCAGUAAAUUGCAUUAAAAAAAUGUAUGAAAAGAUUUUGUUCAAUAAAAAUGUUUAUAUUUAUCAAGGAUGUAUUAUUUGGUAUGGCCACAUAUCGUCAGUGAUGUAAUAAUA